rnacentral:rRNA from 1 species
GAACCAGCGGAGGGAUCAUUACUGAGUUUACGCUCUACAACCCUUUGUGAACAUACCUAUAACUGUUGCUUCGGCGGGUAGGGUCUGCGCGACCCUCCCGGCCUCCCGCCUCCGGGCGGGUCGGCGCCCGCCGGAGGAUAACCAAACUCUGAUUUAACGACGUUUCUUCUGAGUGGUACAAGCAAAUAAUCAAAACUUUUAACAACGGAUCUCUUGGUUCUGGCAUCGAUGAAGAACGCAGCGAAAUGCGAUAAGUAAUGUGAAUUGCAGAAUUCAGUGAAUCAUCGAAUCUUUGAACGCACAUUGCGCCCGCCAGCAUUCUGGCGGGCAUGCCUGUUCGAGCGUCAUUUCAACCCUCAAGCUCUGCUUGGUGUUGGGGCCCUACAGCUGAUGUAGGCCCUCAAAGGUAGUGGCGGACCCUUUUGGAGCUCCUUUGCGUAGUAACUUUACGUCUCGCACUGGGAUCCGGAGGGACUCUUGCCCGUAAAACCCCCAAUUUUCCAAAGGUUGACCU